UUAGGAAAACCUGAGUUCAACUCUGAUAUCAGAUAUCUACUAGCUGUGUGACUUUGGACAAGUCACUUAGUCUGUUUGUUUCAACUGUUUGUUCUCAACUGUAAAACCUUGCAGAGAUGUUGUGAGGACCAAGAGACAUAAUAUUUGCACACCAUGCUGGGCAGUCCUAUGCCGAGGUCUCCUGCAUCUCACAAUCAAUUCCAAAGUUCUUCUGAGAGACUGUAAGAGUAUCCUUGUGUCACUUCUUCUGACCUCGAUGUGAGAACUUGCCUUGUGUGAGUUUUCUGUAAGAUAAUUGUAUAGUCAAACAUACUUUUGGCCUUCUUAGAGAUGGAUGAACUAUCUUACUGGUAAACCCUGUGGAGUUUUUGAUUUUCAUUUAGCAGCUUCUGAAUUUCCCCAUCAUUUUCAUCAAACCAGUCUUGAUGUUUGUGAGUGUUCUGGCCCAGAUGAGUAAUUGCAGUGCUGUACGCCAAAUCUCUGAGAUCUGCCCACUGUUUUUCUGCUCCACUGUUGGCAGCCAUAUGUUGGCUCAGCUUUCCCUUCAUCUUAGCAACAAACUGUUUACACUCAGAGAAGUGCCCUAAUCUGUUAACAUUGUCUUCUGGUAGUCAUCUUGCCUUGGGGAUGCUACUUUUGUUGAAUGUGAAUGUUUAGCUUGUAGAAGAGAGGUCUAUGAUUGGUCCAGCACUCUGCCACACAUCAUCUUCUUUACUUAUAUCCAGUCUGUCUCUUUUCCUUACAAUAACAUGCACUUAUAUCCAGUCUGUCUCUUUUCCAUAUAAUAACAUUACAAUAAAUGCCAAUGUUUGCUUCAA